AGGACGAACGCUGGCGGCGCGCUUAACACAUGCAAGUCGAGCGAGAACCAGGGCUUCGGCCCUGGGGAAAGCGGCGAACGGGUGAGUAACACGUGAGUAACCUGUCCUCGGCACCGGGAUAGCCCGGGGAAACCCGGAUUAAUACCGGAUGGCCUUUCGAGUCUUCGGGCUCGUCAGAAAAGGUAGCUUCGGCCUCCGGCCGAGGAGGGACUCGCGGCGGAUUAGCUUGUUGGUGGGGUAACGGCUCACCAAGGCGACGAUCCGUAGCUGGUCUGAGAGGACGAUCAGCCACACUGGGACUGAGACACGGCCCAGACUCCUACGGGAGG
rnacentral:rRNA from 1 species